rnacentral:rRNA from 1 species
UCCUACGGGAGGCAGCAGUGGGGAAUAUUGCGCAAUGGGGGGAACCCUGACGCAGCCAUGCCGCGUGAAUGAAGAAGGCCUUCGGGUUGUAAAGUUCUUUCGGUAAUGAGGAAGGGAUGUUAUUAAAUAGAUAGCAUCAUUGACGUUAAUUACAGAAGAAGCACCGGCUAACUCCGUGCCAGCAGCCGCGGUAAUACGGAGGGUGCGAGCGUUAAUCGGAAUAACUGGGCGUAAAGGGCACGCAGGCGGACUUUUAAGUGAGAUGUGAAAUCCCCGAGCUUAACUUGGGAACUGCAUUUCAGACUGGGAGUCUAGAGUACUUUAGGGAGGGGUAGAAUUCCACGUGUAGCGGUGAAAUGCGUAGAGAUGUGGAGGAAUACCGAAGGCGAAGGCAGCCCCUUGGGAAUGUACUGACGCUCAUGUGCGAAAGCGUGGGGAGCAAACAGGAUUAGAUACCCUGGUAGUCC